rnacentral:lncRNA from 1 species
AUGACUGCGUGCGGACCGGUGCCCGUGCAAAGGUAUGGUCGCGUUUCUCCGCGCACACGUACGUCGCGGGCAUGUGACGGUGGAGGGAGAAGGGGACAGGGAAGGGUGUCCGCGGCCGCUCUGCGCUUGCUUCCAGACCUCUGGUCCGGGAACCCCCAGCCCAGAGGCACCGUCUGGCCGAGGGUCGAGCAGGCCGUAGCCGCACGGGCUUCCUGGCUCCCUUCACGCGUGGCGGGUCUCCCCGCCCCGGCCCCGCCCCCGCCCACCGCAGGCGCGCUCGGCCGAUUCGGCUGCGGCCACCGGGCGGGACCGUCCGCUUCCCGUGACCCUGCGAGGCCACCAGCGCCGGGACGACCGCCUCCCACGCCCAGGCGAGGAGACGACGCGGCCCACCGAGAGAGGACAGAGCGCCCGGUCCGCGUCGUGGCUGUCCCGCCAUCGCCGCGCCCGACACCAGGAACCGCUGACAGGUGCCGGGCGCCGGCGGCCCCUCACCUGACGCACCCGCACAGACGCUGCCGCUCCUUUUUUGCGGGGCAUACGCCGGCUCGUACCCACGUAGUUACGUACGCACACGGAGAUUCUUCCUGCUACCCCUCGGGCUUUUUUCCUCCUCUCUUUGCGGACCUGCUUUGGGCUCAGUAUUCGCAUGGACACUUUGUAAGUGACCCCAAAGUUCAGGGAGCGCCCAGGGUGCUUCCUGCUGGGGGCUGCCAUCCACCCCCAGCCCUGCCACCUGAGAUAAGCAGCCCCCAAGAGGAGGCGCCAGUGUGCCCAGCACUCUGCCCAUGAGAAAAGGCUCCUUCUAUUCUUGCCUCUGUAGUUCUCUUGGUUACUGCUUGGCUUUAGUUCCGUGCCCUGGACUCACACAUGACGAGCGCUAGGGCAGCUGUGUGGCUGUGGAAAGAUAGCGAGCCUUGUUUCUUCUGCUCCAGCACUCCCUUUUUAUCUCCAGAUCUUCAUCUGUCCUGUUUCCAAGAUGCACACUCCCCUAGCCCCCCUUCCCCUCUGCCCCUGGGCAACUCUUGUUGGUGGUGUCCCUCUCAACGUGGCCCAGGUCAAGUGGUCCAGCCUGAGAACCACUUACUUCUGGUUUUGUUUAAAUGGCCCUCUAAGUCCAUGGGAAGAAGCUGCACCGUGGGGUACCUGCGGACACGGGUGGGCUACUUUGACGUCGCUGGUUAGGUCUCGGGCCUGCACACAGAAUGUGGCACAGCCCAGUUGGAACCUUGGGAGUUGCUGUGAACUUCUGGAAUUCUACACCCUUGUAUUUAUGUUACAGCUUAUUAUAUCAACUUUAAUGGGGGGUGGGGAGAUGCUCAUUUCCAUGUUUCCAUCACUCCUGAGCUCUUCGACAUUACCCGGAGGCAAGAAGGCUCAUAAUUUGGGCAUACUUCCCUAGACCUUUCUCUGUGUUUUUUCUUUACUCCUUUGAGUUCAUUCUGUAUUACCAUCUUGUCUUGUAUUUUUUCACUUAACAUUAAGUAUUCUUCCAUGUUCGGAAAGGUUCCUCAGAAGACAUUUCACUAAGCUCUGCACCUCAUCCUGGAGUAUAUCGGAUUCCAGACUUGCCCCACUCAAGGCCAACUGACAGAUGCUCAGGGAUAGCCCAGCAUACCUUGGACCCAAUGACAUUCUCUUUUCAGAAGGUCCGGCAUAGGGGGUCCUCCUGAAGCAGAUUUGGAGACACAGUUUAUUGAGUCUCUCAUAUCAGUGUCAACUUGGACACUGUGCCCAACAGCCUUGAACUGUGGUUAUCCUGUUUCCUAGUGUUCAUUCACCCAGAGGUCCC